GGAAAAGUUGCCAUAGGUAGGGUAAGCCACUUGCUAUGUGGUAUCUUUAUAGAUUUAGGUGUUCGAUUCGCCUCUUUUCCG
rnacentral:tRNA from 1 species